rnacentral:rRNA from 1 species
CCUACGGGAGGCAGCAGUGGGGAAUUUUGCGCAAUGGGGGCAACCCUGACGCAGCAACGCCGCGUGAGUGAUGAAGGCCUUCGGGUCGUAAAGCUCUGUCAGAGGGGAAGAAAUGCAGGUGGUGAACAACCAUUCUGUUUGACGGUACCCUCAAAGGAAGCACCGGCUAACUCCGUGCCAGCAGCCGCGGUAAUACGGAGGGUGCGAGCGUUGUUCGGAAUUAUUGGGCGUAAAGCGCGUGUAGGCGGUUUGUUAAGUCUGAUGUAAAAGCCCCGGGCUCAACCUGGGAAUUGCAUUGGAUACUGGCAGACUUGAGUACGGGAGAGGAGAGUGGAAUUCCCAGUGUAGGAGUAAAAUGCGUAGAUACCAGGAGGAACACCGGUGGCGAAGGCGGCUUCCUGGACCGGUACUGACACUCAUGCGCGAAAGCGUGGGGAGCAAACAGGAUUAGAUCCCCCUGUAGU